GUAGCAGUCGAAGCAUAUUGAAUCAUGAAGAGUUAAUGGAAUUGUACGUAUGUCAACAAAGCAUUAUUUUAAUUCAUCAUCUGUCUCCUCCUCCUCGUCCACCACCACGGCCUUUCUCUAUGAGCUAUCCUCUCCUCUCCUACCCCCGAUUUCCACUCCAAUGGCCACCCACAACCGCCAAAACCAUACCCUCAACGGCGACCACUGCGACUCUACCAUACCCAUUACCAAGAGGCCCAAACUUUCUUCACCGUCUCCCACCUCCUUUAUCACUCACUCCCAAAUCCAAUCUGAAUUCUCCCACCAUGACUUAUCCGUCGCUCGCAUCAACAACGGCAGCUUCGGCAGCUGCCCUCAGUCUGUCAUCUCCGCUCAGCAACGCUGGCAGACCCAGUUCCUCCGCCAGCCUGACCACUUCUACUACAACCAGCUCAAGCCUGGUAUCCUCCACUCUCGAUCCAUCGUCAAAUCCUUAAUUAAUGCUGACCAAGUCGACGAGGUCUCCCUCGUCGACAACGCCACCACCGCUGCCGCUAUCGUCUUGCAGAAAUCUGCGUGGUCCUUCUCCGAAGGUAGAUACAACAAAGGCGAUGUUGCUGUAAUGCUUCAUUAUGCUUACGGAGCUGUGAAGAAGUCCAUUGAAGCUUACGUCACGCGCGCUGGUGGGCAUGUGAUCGAAGUUCAGUUGCCGUUUCCGGUGAAAUCGAAAGAGGAAAUCAUUACCGAAUUCCGGAAGGCUUUGGAGAAAGGAAAAGAGAAUGGGAAGAAAGUGAG
rnacentral:misc_RNA from 1 species